UCCUUAGAUGUUCUGGGCCGCACGCGUGCUACACUGAGUGGAUCAGCGGGUCAGGUUGCGCGAAAGCGUUUCCUAAUCUUUAAAUCCGCUCGUGAUGGGGAUUGACGGUUGCAAUUUUCUGUCAUGAACGAGGAAUACCUUGUAAGCGCGGGUCAUCAUCCCGCGCUGAAUACGUCCCUGCCCUUUGUACACACCGCCCGUCGCUCCUACCGAUUGAGUGGUCCGGUGAGGCUUUGGGAUCUGAGCAAAGAGAGCGUUUCGCUCGUUUUGCCCGGAAAACUCAGUCGAACCUUAUCAUUUAGAGGAAGGAGAAGUCGUAACA
rnacentral:rRNA from 1 species